UGGUUUUCACCUGCAAUCCGGGUAUUUUCCAGGGCUCGGAUCUCAACUGGAGAGUGAUCUGCCUCUGGGUUCAUGUGAUUGUUAGAGAAAUACGACUGCGCUUGUCCUCCUGCACCAAUGGCUCCAUUUCUUGAAGGCUGACAUCCAUCACCACACUCAGCUCCUUUUCACAGCACUUCAUAGUGUGGCUACGUAGUCACAUAUGCGAGCCCAGAAAGCGACUGAGACAGCCGGGACAUUAUACGUACACCACAGGACGAAAUCAUAGACAUAACAAGCCAUCCUGUCCGCUAUGCCAAUGGCAAACUAGUCGUGCGUGCCAUCUACAUUCAAGAACCACCUAAUAAGGAAAACCCAAGACUGAAGUCAACACAUGUAAAUGUCCACACGGGGGCAGCAGACACCAGGACAUUGUGUUCCGAAUGCCUGACUCCGAGGAAGAACAAGUUCAUUUCCUUUUAUGGCAGCUCACGGCUCCCCCUGUCUGGUCCUUGAAUGGCAAGGGAGGUGCUUGCUUGUUUUUUAUUCCUCCAUCCCCGUAAAGCUCCGUCCCUGAUAUGUCCCCAAUAAAGACAAAGGGCUGUAUCCUGCAUAACCCGCAGAGCAACAGUGACUGGGGAGCAGCAAUGAGGGCCCCCCUGAAACAGGGACUUAAGGAGACUUCCACAGUCCAAGAGCCCACAUGUCUAAGUCACAACUGUAUCGCAGUCGGUGUCGGGUAAAGCCCGUCUUGUUCAGAGUUGGUCCAGAAUUCGUGCCCUCAGUGAAGAAGCUUCAGAAACUCGCUGGCUUCUACCCUGUGAAGAUUCAGAAAGGCAUCAUCUAGGCAGCAGGAAAUGAAGCCUCCUUAGACAUCAAACCUUCAGUAUCCUCGAUCGUGGUUUACAACUGUAAGGCUUCGCAACUGUAAAGUACAUAAUAGCUGGCAUUUUGUUAUAGUGCUAUGAACAGAGACAAAGGAAAUUGUAGUGACACAUUUUUUAUGAAAACACCUCUUGCAUUAAAAAUAAACUAAUUUCC
rnacentral:lncRNA from 1 species